ACAUAGUUCAAUGGCCGCGGUACCCUGACCGUGCAAAGGUAGCAUAAUCACUUGCCCCUUAAUUAGGGGCUGGCAUGAAAGGACACACGAAAGCUUCCCUGUCUCACAAUAACAAAUAAAAAUUAAUCUUCAAGUGAAAAAGCUUGAAUAAAAUUGCAGGACAAGAAGACCCCGUUGAGCUUUAUUCUCUAUAGACUAAAUCAAAUAUUAAAUACAUCAUAAACCUAAAAAGAAUUUAGUUGGGGUGACUAAGGAACACCGAAAACUUCCUUUUAUUAAUUAGGAUCAUUCUCCAUACAAAUUGACCCAUUACACAUGAUCAAAAAAAUAAGCUACCACAGGGAUAACAGGCUAAUCUUUCUCAAGAGCCCAAAUUGUCAGAAAGGAUUGGCACCUCGAUGUUGGCUUAGGGGCCCCUAAUGGUGCAGAAGCCAUAAAUGGUAGGUUUGUUCAACCUUUAAAACCCUACGUGAUCUGAGUUCA
rnacentral:rRNA from 1 species